rnacentral:rRNA from 1 species
GUGGGGAAUAUUGCACAAUGGGGGGAACCCUGAUGCAGCAACGCCGCGUGAAGGAAGAAGGGAUUAGUCUCGUAAACUUCUAUCAAUAGGGACGAAGGAAGUGACGGUACCUAAAUAAGAAGCCCCGGCUAACUACGUGCCAGCAGCCGCGGUAAUACGUAGGGGGCAAGCGUUAUCCGGAAUUACUGGGUGUAAAGGGAGAGUAGGCGGCAUGAUAAGCCAGAUGUGAAAGCCUUAGGCUUAACUUGAGGAAUGCAUUUGGAACUAUCAAGCUAGAGUACAGGAGAGGUAAGCGGAAUUCCUAGUGUAGCGGUGAAAUGCGUAGAUAUUAGGAAGAACACCAGUGGCGAAGGCGGCUUACUGGACUGAGACUGACGCUGAGGCUCGAAAGCGUGGGGAGCGAACAGGA